AGUGAACGCUGGCGGCGUGCUUAACACAUGCAAGUCGAACGAGAACGGGUUAUAGCUUGCUAUAAUUGUCAGCUAAGUGGCGCACGGGUGAGUAAUGUAUAGGUAAUAUGCCUCUUACUAAGGGAUAACAGUUGGAAACGAUUGCUAAUACCUUAUAUGCCUUUAAGACUAAAGUCUGCAAGGGAAAGAUUUAUUGGUAAGAGAUUAGCCUGUAUUGUAUCAGCUAGUUGGUGAGGUAAUGGCUCACCAAGGCUAUGACGCAUAACUGGUUUGAGAGGAUGAUCAGUCACACUGGAACUGAUACACGGUCCAGACUCCUACGGGAGGCAGCAGUGGGGAAUAUUGCACCAUGGACGAAAGUCUGAUGCAGCAACGCCGCGUGGAGGAUGAAACAUUUCGGUGCGUAAACUCCUUUUAUAUAGGAAGAUAAUGACGGUACUAUAUGAAUAAGCACCGGCUAACUCCGUGCCAGCCGCCGCCGUAA
rnacentral:rRNA from 1 species